rnacentral:rRNA from 1 species
CUGGCGGCAUGCCUAACACAUGCAAGUCGAACGAGAUCUUCGGAUCUAGUGGCGCACGGGUGAGUAACGCGUGGGAACCUACCUUUUAGUACGGGACAACGUUUGGAAACGAACGCUAAUACCGUAUACGCCCUCCGGGGGAAAGGUCAGCCGCUAAAAGAGGGGCCCGCGUCUGAUUAGCUUGUUGGUAAGGUAAUGGCUUACCAAGGCUACGAUCAGUAGCUGGUCUGAGAGGAUGAUCAGCCACACUGGGACUGAGACACGGCCCAGACUCCUACGGGAGGCAGCAGUGGGGAAUAUUGGACAAUGGAGGCAACUCUGAUCCAGCAAUGCCGCGUGUGUGAUGAAGGCCCUAGGGUUGUAAAGCACUUUCAACGGUGAAGAUGAUGACGGUAGCCGUAGAAGAAGCCCCGGCUAACU